GUAGUUGGUAGGGUAAUGGCCUACCAAGCCGACGAUGGGUAGCCGGCCUGAGAGGGUGAACGGCCACAAGGGGACUGAGACACGGCCCUUACUCCUACGGGAGGCAGCAGUGGGGAAUAUUGGACAAUGCACCAAAAGUCUGAUCCAGCAAUUCUGUGUGCACGAUGAAGGUCUUCGGAUUGUAAAGUGCUUUCAGGUGGAAAGAAGAAAGUGACGGUACCACCAGAAGAAGCGACGGCUAAAUACGUGCCAGCAGCCGCGGUAAUACGUAUGUCGCAAGCGUUAUCCGGAAUAAUUGGGCGUAAAGCGAGUCUAGGCGGCUUGUUAAGUCAGAUGUGAAAAUGCGGGGCUCAACUCCGUAUUGCGUUUGAAACUGGCAGGCUAGAGUACUGGAGAGGUGGGCGGAACUACAAGUGUAGAGGUGAAAUUCGUAGAUAUUUGUAGGAAUGCCGAUAGUGAAGACAGCUCACUGGACAGAUACUGACGCUAAAGCUCGAAAGCGUGGGGAGCGAACAGGAUUAGAUACCCUGGUAGUCCACGCCGUAAACGAUGUUCACUGGAUGUAGGGGGUCGAACCUCUGUGUCGAAGCUAACGCGAUAAGUGAACCGCCUGGGGAGUACGCACGCAAGUGUGAAACUCAAAGGAAUUGACGGGGACCCGCACAAGCGGUGGAGCAUGUGGUUUAAUUCGACGCAACGCGAGGAACCUUACCAGCACUUGACAUACAACGAACUCGUCAGAGAUGACUUGGUGCCGCUUCGGUGGAACGUUGAUACAGGUGGUGCAUGGCUGUCGUCAGCUCGUGUCGUGAGAUUUGGGUUAAGUCCCGCAACGAGCGCAACCCCUAUCGUAUGUUACCAUCAUUAAGUUGGGGACUCAUGCGAGACUGCCUGCGACGAGCAGGAGGAAGGUGGGGAUGACGUCAAGUCAUCAUGCCCCUUAUGUGCUGGGCUACACACGUGCUACAAUGGUUGGUACAGAGAGCAGCAAUACGGCGACGUGGAGCAAAUCUCAGAAAGCCAAUCUUAGUUCGGAUCGCAGUCUGCAACUCGACUGCGUGAAGUUGGAAUCGCUAGUAAUCGCGAAUCAGCAAUGUCGCGGUGAAUACGUUCUCGGGUCUUGUACACACCGCCCGUCACACCACGAGAGUUGGUUGCACCUAAAGUAGCAGGCCUAACCUUUAUGGAGGGAUGUUCCUAAGGUGUGAUUAGCGAUUGGGGUGAAGUCGUAACAAGGUAUCCGUACCGGAAGGUGCGGAUG
rnacentral:rRNA from 1 species